CGGGAGCCUGAUUCCAGAAUGGCUGCCUGCUCCACCCUGGCCCAGGACGCUCAGCUCUGACCUCCAGUUUGGGAUCUGGCCCAACUGUUGAGCUUUCUGCUUGCCACUUGCCCCAUCUGACAGGACCCCGUGACGUCACACACGGAUCUGUGUUAAACUCACAGCCAGGGCGAGGCACAGGGCUAAACCGAUCCAGGCCACUUCCAGUUGAAUUUGGAGCAAACACGGC
rnacentral:lncRNA from 1 species